UACGUAGGGUGCGAGCGUUGUCCGGAAUUAUUGGGCGUAAAGAGCUUGUAGGCGGUCUGUCGCGUCUGCUGUGAAAGACCGGGGCUUAACUCCGGUUCUGCAGUGGGUACGGGCAGACUAGAGUGUGGUAGGGGAGACUGGAAUUCCUGGUGUAGCGGUGAAAUGCGCAGAUAUCAGGAGGAACACCGAUGGCGAAGGCAGGUCUCUGGGCCAUUACUGACGCUGAGAAGCGAAAGCAUGGGGAGCGAACAGG
rnacentral:rRNA from 1 species